GAGGUGGGGAAACAUCGAUGAAAACAUCGAUGCAUCGAUGUUUUAAAAUUUUUGGAAACAUCGAUGUUUUAUGGCGACUAUCGAUGUUUUUGCAAGGUAAGUAAAGUAAGGGAAGCGCAGAAGGUAUUCAACUUGUGGUGUAGGCAACGUCGGUGGAUGUGUGGCAAUUUCGUGCGAGUCCGAAAGGUCUUUCAACAAGGCUGGACAGAUCAUAUCGGACCGUCGCACCAGACUUAAAGUUGAUGUCGUAGCUAAACUCAUGUAUCAAUAAGAACCAAACCAUGUUCUGUUAAACUUAUAGAAUAAGAUUUGUAUUUUGAUCUCAUUAAAUUUGUUUUUGUUUUCUUGCUUUUA